UUCCUCCCAUCAAGCUGCUGCUUCCCUAUGCAGUCUUACAGCACUUACUACGAGGUGGUAUCUUACUGGUGUGAUUCUAUGUCCAUUUUCCUACCAGUACCCUAACGGCCGAGUGGGCAGGGACUGUGUGUUCGUUGGCUGAGCCUAGUAUCCUGCCUACUGUAGUGCCUGACACAUAGUAGGCAUUGAAUCCAUAUUUGCUGAAUAAAGUAAUGAGUAAAAUCUGGGUAACAGAAGUGAUAAUCAGGUCUUUUUUUUUUUUUUUUUUUGAGACGGAGUUUCACUCGUUACCCAGGCUGGAGUGCAAUGGCGGGAUCUCGGCUCACCGCAACCUCCGCCUCCUGGGUUCAGGCAAUUCUCCUGCCUCAGCCUCCCGAGUAGCUGGGAUUACAGGCACGCACCACCAUGCCCGGCUAAUUUUUUGUAUUUUUAGUAGAGACGGGGUUUCACCAUAUUGACCAGGACGGUCUCGAUCUCUUGACCUCGUGAUCCACCCGCCUCGGCCUCCCAAAGUGCUGGGAUUAUCAGUCUUUUUUUUGUAGUUGCUUAGGUACUUCAUUUUGUUAAAAGGGACAUCUUAAUAGCUAAUUACUUAGUGCCCUUACUGCCAUCUAGUGGUGACAGAUGUUACUAUACUUCUGGGUCCCUUCUCAAUGACUGCAAGAUCUGUUACUGUACUGGCAGAGAAGGGAAUCAGGAUAUGCAAGGUAUCUGCUGGGUGUUUGCCUUGUUUCAGGUAUUGUACCAGGAAGUUUACAACACUACCUACUUGUUACACGAGCAAAGGGAGUGUAAGCUGCUUUCCCAUGGUCACCAGCUAAGGAGGAGACCUCAAUUCAACACUUGAGAUGGAAUCUUGCUAUGUCACCCAAGCUGGAGUGCAGUGGCGCCAUCUUGGCUCACUGCAAUCUCUGCCACCCCGGUUCCAGCGUUUCUCCUGCCUCAGCCUCCUGAGUAGUUGGGAUUACAG